rnacentral:sRNA from 1 species
GUCGUAUCGAUUCGAUCGGGAUACUCAUCAAAUUACAUUGAAAACUGAGUUGUUUCUUCUGCCAAUGGCGGGCCACAUCUCUCACAAGGAGAAGUUGUAAAACCGGUGGAUUACAAAGGCUAAGAGCGCUCUUCAUCUUAUAACAAAGGAGUUUUCAUCACAUCCUCGGUACGAUUCC